rnacentral:rRNA from 1 species
UCGAUGCCCGGGAUUUCGUCGGCCUUAACAAUAUCGUUCCUAAGUUAGCGAAAUUCCUUGUCGUGCAUGUUCCGACCUGCACGUAUGGCGUAAUGUUGGCCAGGCUGUCGCCUCACGAGACUCAGUGAUAUUGAACUCGCUGUGAAGAUGCUGUGUUCCCGCUGCAAGACGGUAUGAGCCCGUGUUCCUUUUCUAUAGAUUGACACUGAACAUUGAGCCUUGUUGUGUUUGAUAGGUGUGUGGCUUUGUAG